rnacentral:tRNA from 1 species
UCCUGGUGGCUCAGAUGGUAAAGAAUCUGCCUGCAAUGCAGGAGACCUGGGUUUGAUUCCUUGGUCAGGAA